GACGAACGCUGGCGGCGUGCUUAACACAUGCAAGUCGAACGGAAAGGCCCUGCUUUUGUGGGGUGCUCGAGUGGCGAACGGGUGAGUAACACGUGAGUAACCUGCCCUUGACUUUGGGAUAACUUCAGGAAACUGGGGCUAAUACCGGAUAGGAGCUCCUGCUGCAUGGUGGGGGUUGGAAAGUUUCGGCGGUUGGGGUUGGACUCGCGGCUUAUCAGCUUGUUGGUGGGGUAGUGGCUUACCAAGGCUUUGACGGGUAGCCGGCCUGAGAGGGUGACCGGCCAAAUUGGGACUGAGAUAAGGGCCAGACUCCUAAGGGAGGCAGCAGUGGGGAAUAUUGCACCAUGGGCGGAAGCCUGAUGCAGCAACGCCGCGUGCGGGAUGACGGCCUUCGGGUUGUAAACCGCUUUCGCCUGUGACGAAGCGUGAGUGACGGUAAUGGGUAAAGAAGCACCGGCUAACUACGUG
rnacentral:rRNA from 1 species